AAAGUGUCAGAAAGGGAGAGAGAGUGAGAGGAGGUGCCAUGUUUCACGGAGUGUAAGGGAGGACUUCUCUGAAGCUAAACUUCAAAGUGAGAUCUGAAGACAGCAAGGAGACAUCUGGAUCCCAGGGUUCAAUCAAGAAAUUCAAGAAAAUGAAGUGAAUCCUGCAAAGGAGGCCAAGAACCAGCCCAUGAAGUUGAGAACCAAGAGAUGGUGGUCUUGGACAUCAAAAGAAGAGAGGCCACAGAGAAGAAGGAGUGAUCUGACCACUGCAUCGAAUGCUGCUGGGAGGUGGAGGAGGAUGAGCACUGAGAAGUGACUGCCAUGCAUCAGUUUGCAGCAUGAUAACCAUUGGUGGCUCUGACGGGAGUGGAGUGAUGGGGCAGAAACCUAACUGAAUGAGUUUAAGAAAUAAGGAAGUAAAAAUGGCCUUGCUGAGUAAAUUAAAUUUAUGUUCAAGUGCUAUUUCUCUAUGGCACCGGGGAACAAGCAUUUCCAACAAUAGCGCUAUUCACAACAGCAAAGACACGGAAUCAACCUAGAUGUCUAUCAACAGUGGACAGGCUAAAGAAAAUGCGGUACAUAUACAUCAUGGAAUACUACGCAGCCAUAAAAAGAAUGAGAUCAUGUCCUUUGCGACAACGUGAAUGGAGCUGGAGGCUAUUAUCCUAAGCAACUUAACACAGGAACAGAAAACCAAAUGCUGCAUGUUCUCAUAAGUGGAAGCUGAACAUUGAGUACACAUGGACACAAAUAAGGGAACAACAGACCCCAGGGCCUACUUGAGGGUGGAGAGUGGGAGUUACCUGUUGGGUGUUACGCUGAGUACUUGGGUGACAAAAUUAUCUGUAUACCAAACCCCUGCAACGUGCAGUUUACCCAUGUAACAAACCUGCACAUGUAUCCCUUGAACCUAAAAGUUGGAAAGUUUAAAAAAAGAAAAAAGGGGUACAAGGAAAUGAAGGAUGCAGGAUUCAGUAUUAUUAUUACCUAAUAAGUGGGGAAGGAAGGGAAAAUUAGUUGUGAGAGGCGACCAUACCAUUGCAUGUAAACUCAUAGAGGCAAAGUAGAUUCGUAGCCACUAAGGGCAAAGGGGUGGGGAACAAGCAAUGACUGCUAAUGGGUACAGGUUUUUUUGGGAGUGUGACGCAAAUGUUCUGGAAUUAAAUGGUCGUGAUGGCUGCACAACUUUGUUCAUACAUAAGCCCCACUAAAUUGUGUACUUAGGAAGAUGAAUAUUGUGAUACAAGAAUUAUGUCUCAGGUUUUAAAAACAGGAAAAAUCUCAUUAUAAAACUACAGUAAUUAAUAAAGUGUGUUUUGAUUUAAAGAUAAGUAAACAGAUGAAGAGAAAAUUAUAGAGUCCAGGAUUAGAUCCACAGAUAGAUGGCCAGUUGAUUUUCAACAAAGGUAAAGAAAGGAUAGUAUUUUCAACAAACAAUUCUGGAAAAACUGGAUGUAUGUAUGCAAAAAAAAAAAAAAAACCCAAAAAACCCUUUGACACAUACUUUGAACCAUAUACAAAACUUAACUCAAAAUGGAUCAUAGACCUCAAUGUAAAACCUGAAAUUAUAAAAGUGCUAGAGGAAAACAUACCAGAAAACCUUUAUGACCUAGGGUUGGGCAAAGAAUUCUUAUGAACAGCACCAAAAAACAUGUUCCCUUUUAUUUAAAAAGAAAUUUUCAAAAAAGUAAGGAUAAAUUGGACUUCAUCAAAAUUAAAAACCUCUCUUUAGGCCAGGCACGGUGGUUCACGCCUGUAAUCCCAGCACUUUGGGAGGCCAAGGUAGGUUUAUCACCUGAGGUCAGGAGUUCGAGAC
rnacentral:lncRNA from 10 species